rnacentral:rRNA from 1 species
AAAUGAAUUGACGGGGGCCCGCACAAGCAGUGGAGUAUGUGGUUUAAUUCGAAGCAACGCGAAGAACCUUACCAGGUCUUGACAUCUAACUAACGAAGCAGAGAUGCAUUAGGUGCCCUUCGGGGAAAGUUAAGACAGGUGGUGCAUGGUUGUCGUCAGCUCGUGUCGUGAGAUGUUGGGUUAAGUCCCGCAACGAGCGCAACCCUUGUGAUUAGUUGCUACGCAAGAGCACUCUAAUCAGACUGCCGUUGACAAAACGGAGGAAGGUGGGGACGACGUCAAAUCAUCAUGCCCUUUAUGACCUGGGCUACACACGUACUACAAUGGCUGUUAACAAAGGGAAGCAAUACCGCGAGGUGGAGCAAAACCUAAAAAACAGUCUCAGUUCGGAUCGUAGGCUGCAACUCGCCUACGUGAAGUUGGAAUUGCUAGUAAUCGCGGAUCAUCAUGCCGCGGUGAAUACGUUCCCGGGCCUUGCACACACCGCCCGU